rnacentral:rRNA from 1 species
GACGAACGCUGGCGGCGUGCUUAACACAUGCAAGUCGAACGGAAAGGCCUCUUUCGGGGGGUACUCGAGUGGCGAACGGGUGAGUAACACGUGAGUAACCUGCCCUUGACUUUGGGAUAACUUCAGGAAACUGGGGCUAAUACCGGAUAGGAGCUCCUGCUGCAUGGUGGGGGUUGGAAAGUUUCGGCGGUUGGGGAUGGACUCGCGGCUUAUCAGCUUGUUGGUGGGGUAGUGGCUUACCAAGGCUUUGACGGGUAGCCGGCCUGAGAGGGUGACCGGCCACAUUGGGACUGAGAUACGGCCCAGACGCCUACGGGAGGCAGCAGUGGGGAAUAUUGCACAAUGGGUGGAAGCCUGAUGCAGCAACGCCGUGUGCGGGAUGACGGCCUUCGGGUUGUAAACCGCUUUCGCUCAUGACGAAGCUUUGUGUGACGGUAGUGGGUAAAGAAGCACCGGCUAACUACGCG